rnacentral:rRNA from 1 species
AUUGAACGCUGGCGGCAGGCUUAACACAUGCAAGUCGAGCGGGGACUUCGGUCCUAGCGGCGAACGGGUGAGGAAUGCUUGGGAAUCUGCCCGGUAGCGGGGGAUAACGUUUCGAAAGGAACGCUAAUACCGCAUACGCCCUACGGGGGAAAGGGGGGGAUCUUCGGACCUCUCACUAUUGGAUGAGCCCAAGUCGGAUCAGCUAGUUGGUGGGGUAAUGGCCUACCAAGGCGACGAACCGUAGCUGGUCUGAGAGGAUGAUCAGCCACACUGGAACUGAGACACGGUCCAGACUCCUACGGGAGGCAGCAGUGGGGAAUAUUGGACAAUGGGCGAAAGCCUGAUCCAGCCAUGCCGCGGGUGUGAAGAAGGCCUUCGGGUUGUAAAGCACUUUAAGCGAGGAGGAAUGGCUCUUGGUUAAUAACCUUGAGCAGUGACGUUACUCGCAGAAUAAGCACCGGCUAACUCUGUGCCAGCCGCCGCGGUAAAAC